AAAUGAAUACUUCUAUGCUUCUCUAUAUGCUGGCUUGUACUAUGAAUCACAGAAUGAGCCAGAUGAGGGUAAAGUUCAUUUAAUUGCUGCUUGUCAAUCACCUUAUGGAUCAAGGAGUGAUGAUUACAUGGCUGCUCUUUCCAAGGUACAUUGCAAAUGUAGAAAUUGGAACAUCAACUAACAGAAUACACUCAAGUUCCAUGAGACAGGUAAAAUUCUAUUCCAACAUUUUUCGAGAUAUCCCAAUGCUUCAGCAUGAUACAAAUUACACGUCCAUUGAUAAUACCAGACCUUGACACAAUUAUAUGGUGAGCCAUUUUGUAACUGGUCAGUGACAUUUG
rnacentral:misc_RNA from 1 species